UAUAAAGUCUGACCUGCCCAAUGAAAAUUUAAAUGGCCGCGGUAUUUUGACCGUGCAAAGGUAGCAUAAUAAUUAGUUUUUUAAUUGAAAGCUGGAAUGAAUGGUUGGACGAGAAAAUAACUGUCUCAUAUUAAUUUAAUUAGAAUUUUAUUUUUAAGUAAAAAAGCUUAAAUUUUUUUAAAAGACGAGAAGACCCUAUAGAGCUUUAUAUAUUUAUAAUUAAAUUUAAUGUAGAAUUUUAGUAUUUUUAUUUUUAAAUGUAUUUUAUUGGGGUGAUAAAAAAAUUAAUAAAACUUUUUUUUUAUAAUAACAUUGAUUUAUGAAUAAUUGAUCCAUUUUUUAUGAUUAAAAGAUUAAGUUACCUUAGGGAUAACAGCGUAAUUUUUUUUUAGAGUUCUUAUCGAAAAAAGAGAUUGCGACCUCGAUGUUGGAUUAAAAUUAAUGUUUGGUGUAGAGGCUAGACAAUUAGGUCUGUUCGACCUUUGAAAUUUUACA
rnacentral:rRNA from 1 species